ensembl:lincRNA Gm43154 predicted gene 43154
CUGGGAAAAGGGAACCUUUAUGACUGGGACUUGGUCUGGAGGAGAGCUGGUGGGAGCACCACCUUGUGGCAGUCCAUAAGAGAGCCUAGGGUUCAGGUUUGGAACUAGCGGGCUUGAAGUAGCUCCCCAGGGGCCUCAGGUCUUAGCUUCAGCCACAAGCCCAGUUUUCUGCUGUUGGUAAGAGCAGCCCUACAUGUGGUCUGAGAGCUUGUGUGCUUUGCAUGUCACUNNNNNNNNNNNNNNNNNNNNNNNNNNNGGGGGGGAGAGAGACUUGGCAGGGGCCAAGAGGAGACUGAUGGUCUUAAGUUACCGGAUGACUUCACGUAUCCCGAGAGGCAGUUGCAAGGACAGUCAAGUCCCCCAGGUGGGCCCCAGGAUCUAGAAUCACAUAGGAUAAAAGGAUCUGGGCACAUCUGUGAAGACAUUUUUGGAUUGGGCUGAGAUAGGAAGACUCAUCCUGAAUGUGGUGGUACCAUUCCCUAGGCUGGAGUGUUGGACCGAAUCAAAAGGAGAAAGUAAGCUGCGUACCAGCAUUCAUCUUUACUAUUUCCUAACUGCAGAUGCAGAGCUCCCUCCAGCUCCUGUUACCAAGCCUUAUCUACAAUGGUGGAUGGACUCAAGUUAUGAACUCAAAUAAUCCCUUCCUUCUGUGAGCUGCUUUUGUUAGGUAUUACAGCAAUAAGAGAAGUAAUUUGUAUGAAAACUAGUUCACUUUUCUUGAUAAAAGAAAUUCCCAAAC